GCAAUUCCAUCCUUUGGUGUUAAACUUUAACAGGACAUCCAAACACCCCAAUAUGUUAAAGUUUAACACCUCAUUUGAGGGUGUUAAAGUUAACACCCUGUUAAACUUUAACACCCUCAAUCCAAACAGGCCCUAAAUGAAUAUGCUUCAUCAAAUUCCAGAUUCAUAGGAUAUGAACUAAUUGCAUCGAACAUGAGUUUGAACUACAAAUCCAUUGCUAUUGCCCAAUUUGCAUUUCAGAUGAACCUUUGGUGCUCCUGAAUUUGCUGUGGUGGUAGACGGUGCCUGCUACACCGGCGUGGUCUCCUCCUCUGCGCCUACUGCGGCAUCGGCAGCCACUGUCCCAUGGCCACCGGCACGCGGCCUGCGCCUCCGCAUCUGUGCCUUCAGCCGGCGCUGCUUGCGUUGCAUCUGCGCUCAAUGUGGCAGCCAUGCCGUCGUCGCCGUCCGCGACAGGCAUGGCCCUUUGGCCAACAGCGAGCGGCAGCCCACGGUCGUCGCCCGGCGGCUCGAAUCCCCUCCUGCGAACAAGGAUUCAAGGUACAAUCCAACGCGAAUCGGCAAGACUCCAAACCCUAGCUUCAGUUGGAGGAAGAUGAAGAGAAAAAUCGAUCUCGAUCUCGAUCUCGAUCUGUUCUGCUGCUACCCGAGAAACUCACAAAGAGCAACGAGAGAGAGAGCAGCAGGGUUCUGCUGGGCCUGCGGGAGUGCAGGUGCUGUUUUGGGCCAGCCCAACACGGUUGGGGAAACAGCAGGCUGGUUUGCUUGUUUGGGCUCCAAUAUGCACAGUUUGGC
rnacentral:lncRNA from 1 species